UGGGUGAUGCCGGCUGUACUGUUGGAGCUUGGACUCAGAGAGGAAUGGUAGAGGGUAAACCUUAGGAGGAACUGGUCACAGGAAAGAGCUCCUUCUGGAACUGUCAAGCACUCGCUGAAACGCAGUGUACAACACGGGACUUCACGACCAGAGCUGCUUUUGGUGCAGUGGCAGGCUUUCCACAGAAGUGGCUGAGGAUUUGAGAAGAGGUUACAGAGCAUCAAGGAGCGGCACGUGCAGUGAUGGCUUCCAAACGGUGAAGAGGUGCCUGAAACCCCAUCCUGUCUAGCCUGCGCACACCUCGCUAAGAAUGAAAACUGCUUUCCAGUAAUUCAGACAGCCAAGUUACGUCUCAGCCUCGAGCAUCUGGGGACUGUGCCUGUGCUUUUGGGCCUGUCUGUAGCAUUUGGCACCUGCAUUAAUACUUUCUUGGCACA